CCUACGGGUGGCAGCAGUCGAGAAUCAUUCACAAUGGGGGAAACCCUGAUGGUGCGACGCCGCGUGGGGGAAUGAAGGUCUUCGGAUUGUAAACCUCUGUCAUGUGGGAGCAAAUUAAAAAGAUAGUACCACAAGAGGAAGAGACGGCUAACUCUGUGCCAGCAGCUGCGGUAAUACAGAGGUCUCAAGCGUUGUUCGGAAUCACUGGGCGUAAAGGGUGCGUAGGCGGUUUCGUAAGUCGUGUGUGAAAGGCGCGGGCUCAACCCGCGGACGGCACAUGAUACUGCGAGACUAGAGUAAUGGAGGGGGAGCCGGAAUUCUCGGUGUAGCAGUGAAAUGCGUAGAUAUCGAGAGGAACACUCGUGGCGAAGGCGGGUUCCUGGACAUUAACUGACGCUGAGGCACGAAGGCCAGGGGAGCGAAAGGGAUUAGAUACCCGUGUAGUC
rnacentral:rRNA from 1 species